GACGAACGCUGGCGGCGUGCUUAACACAUGCAAGUCGAACGGAAAGGCCCUGCUUUUGUGGGGUGCUCGAGUGGCGAACGGGUGAGUAACACGUGAGUAACCUGCCCUUGACUUUGGGAUAACUUCAGGAAACUGGGGCUAAUACCGGAUAGGAGCUCCUGCUGCAUGGUGGGGGUUGGAAAGUUUCGGCGGUUGGGGAUGGACUCGCGGCUUAUCAGCUUGUUGGUGAGGUAGUGGCUUACCAAGGCUUUGACGGGUAGCCGGCCUGAGAGGGUGACCGGCCACAUUGGGACUGAGAUACGGCCCAGACUCCUACGGGAGGCAGCAGUGGGGAAUAUUGCACAAUGGGCGGAAGCCUGAUGCAGCAACGCCGCGUGCGGGAUGACGGCCUUCGGGUUGUAAACCGCUUUCGCCUGUGACGAAGCGUGAGUGACGGUAAUGGGUAAAGAAGCACCGGCUAACUACG
rnacentral:rRNA from 1 species